ACUGUCAAAACAAAAUGAAAACAUUUCUAACGUUUGGCAUAAGCGCUUGGCCCAUUUAUCCCGAAAUUAUAUGUUGAAAAUGAAAAACAUAGUGACCGGUAUGCAAUUUAAGAGCACAGAUUUGUGCGAACCAUGUAUUCCCUGUAUUGAAGGAAAGACGUGCAAGAGUCCCUUUAAAAACAAAGGUACGAGAGCCACGGAUGUUCUGCAAAUCGUUCAUACUGAUUUAUGCGGACCCAUGGAAGAGCCGUCGUUCGGAGGUUCGAGUCUGCAGGAAUAAAACACCAGACGACUGUACCCUACACGCCUGA